UCUAGUGGGUUUGUAUAAAAAUCUGGAUUUUUUUGCACGAAAGCAGUUGGCAGCACUGGCUGGAACUCACAUUAUUACAUACACACAUACAAAUGUAUUAAACAUAUGAAUUUAAAUUUCAUGCUUUUGAGAGUAAUUAUCCACUGUUACGCUCUUCGAAAAACGUUUAAGCGCAUUGUUUUAUCCGAUCUCGAUGGUAAUAUCACGGUCCCCAACCCUCGGGAGCCCUCCUAUUCGAGGGUAAUUUGGGAAUGCGCAGACUCUUUCGAGGAAUUCGAUUUGUGUAUGUAUGUGUAGAGGGGAAAAAACACCAGACGCGGUAUUGGCUGAAAUUUGUUGGUGGUUAAAGGAUAUGUUCCAAGAGCAGUACGAAGAAGGCAAUAGUGACGAUGAUUUCAAAACACCAACAUCAAAAAAACGUCGCACAAACUGAUUUAAUGUUAAUUAUAGUAUUUUGUUAAAAAGUAGUAGUAGUAAAUUCCUUCGAUUUACGCUUAUACUUUAAUACGUAGGAGGUUACCACCGUUGGUGACCCCUGUAAUAAUGAAAAAUAAAUUUUUUGGACUUACUUC